rnacentral:lncRNA from 1 species
GAAAAAAACACAAAGUUAACAAUAUAUUAUUCAGUAACAAAGAGUGCUCACAGUUGCUGAAAGCAAGCUUGAUCACUAUAAAAUCAUUCAGUCCUACUUCUAAUAUUGGUUGCUGGACUUGAAACUGGAUUUCAUACAGCAAUGUCAUAAACAGUUAGGAUACAACUAUUUUUAUUUUGACUGAUAAAUGACAAUUGUUGGAACAUUUCAUCACUGGGACAGUUUCUCAUUUAUUCUUGUAUCAUUAAUAGAUAUUUAGAAAACCAUUGAUUGUGUAUACUCCACAAUAUGGCAGCAUAAAAUGGGUAAAGGCAACAAUUUACCCCCCAAAAAAGAUCUUGUACUGUUUUACAGUUACUUAGUAAACAUUAUUCAACAAGA